rnacentral:rRNA from 1 species
AUUGAACGCUGGCGGCAGGCCUAACACAUGCAAGUCGAGCGGUAGCACAGAGAGCUUGCUCUCGGGUGACGAGCGGCGGACGGGUGAGUAAUGUCUGGGAAACUGCCUGAUGGAGGGGGAUAACUACUGGAAACGGUAGCUAAUACCGCAUAAUGUCGCAAGACCAAAGUGGGGGACCUUCGGGCCUCAUGCCAUCAGAUGUGCCCAGAUGGGAUUAGCUAGUAGGUGGGGUAACGGCUCACCUAGGCGACGAUCCCUAGCUGGUCUGAGAGGAUGACCAGCCACACUGGAACUGAGACACGGUCCAGACUCCUACGGGAGGCAGCAGUGGGGAAUAUUGCACAAUGGGCGCAAGCCUGAUGCAGCCAUGCCGCGUGUGUGAAGAAGGCCUUCGGGUUGUAAAGCACUUUCAGCGGGGAGGAAGGCGGUGAGGUUAAUAACCUCAUCGAUUGACGUUACCCGCAGAAGAAGCACCGGCUAACUCCGUGCCAGCAGCCGCGGUAAUACGGAGGGUGCAAGCGUUAAUCGGAAUUACUGGGCGUAAAGCGCAUGCAGGCGGUCUGUCAAGUCGGAUGUGAAAUCCCCGGGCUCAACCUGGGAACUGCAUUCGAAACUGGCAGGCUAGAGUCUUGUAGAGGGGGGUAGAAUUCCAGGUGUAGCGGUGAAAUGCGUAGAGAUCUGGAGGAAUACCGGUGGCGAAGGCGGCCCCCUGGACAAAGACUGACGCUCAGGUGCGAAAGCGUGGGGAGCAAACAGGAUUAGAUACCCUGGUAGUCCACGCCGUAAACGAUGUCGAUUUGGAGGUUGUGCCCUUGAGGCGUGGCUUCCGGAGCUAACGCGUUAAAUCGACCGCCUGGGGAGUACGGCCGCAAGGUUAAAACUCAAAUGAAUUGACGGGGGCCCGCACAAGCGGUGGAGCAUGUGGUUUAAUUCGAUGCAACGCGAAGAACCUUACCUGGUCUUGACAUCCACAGAACUUUCCAGAGAUGGAUUGGUGCCUUCGGGAACUGUGAGACAGGUGCUGCAUGGCUGUCGUCAGCUCGUGUUGUGAAAUGUUGGGUUAAGUCCCGCAACGAGCGCAACCCUUAUCCUUUGUUGCCAGCGGUUAGGCCGGGAACUCAAAGGAGACUGCCAGUGAUAAACUGGAGGAAGGUGGGGAUGACGUCAAGUCAUCAUGGCCCUUACGACCAGGGCUACACACGUGCUACAAUGGCAUAUACAAAGAGAAGCGACCUCGCGAGAGCAAGCGGACCUCAUAAAGUAUGUCGUAGUCCGGAUUGGAGUCUGCAACUCGACUCCAUGAAGUCGGAAUCGCUAGUAAUCGUAGAUCAGAAUGCUACGGUGAAUACGUUCCCGGGCCU